CCCUGGCUCAGGACGAACGCUGGCGGCAUGCCUAAUACAUGCAAGUCGAGCGGAGUUUUGUUGAAAGCUUGCUUUCAACAGGAUUUAGCGGCGGACGGGUGAGUAACACGUAGGCAACCUGCCCCAUAGCCUGGGAUAACUACCGGAAACGGUAGCUAAUACCGGAUAAUUCCUUUUCCCUCCUGGGAAGAGGAUGAAAGACGGAGUAAUCUGUCGCUGAGGGAUGGGCCUGCGGCGCAUUAGCUAGUUGGUGGGGUAACGGCUCACCAAGGCGACGAUGCGUAGCCGACCUGAGAGGGUGAACGGCCACACUGGGACUGAGACACGGCCCAGACUCCUACGGGAGGCAGCAGUAGGGAAUCUUCCGCAAUGGGCGCAAGCCUGACGGAGCAAUGCCGCGUGAGUGAUGAAGGUUUUCGGAUCGUAAAGCUCUGUUGCCAGGGAAGAACGUCUUAUAGAGUAACUGCUAUAAGAGUGACGGUACCUGAGAAGAAAGCCCCGGCUAACU
rnacentral:rRNA from 1 species